GGGAAUUUUUUUCGAGUGAUUUUUUUUUCAAGUUUGCACUAUAAAAAUCAUUCAUUCAUCAGAUUUCAAUCGUAUUACAACUAUCCUGUCCUUACGACUACAGCUCCAGUUUAAUCUUGUAUUGUAAUAUUGUAAUUCAUCGAAAUGGCAGACAAUACGAGGAAGCAUGCUGAUUUCAUUAAGGAUCCUAUGGGUGAAAAACCUGUAACUGACAUACCGGGAAUAGGCACAGAAACAGCAAAGAAACUAAAAGGAGAAGGAAUUACAAAGGCGUAUGCUGUAUUUGGAAAAUAUUUGAUGUUGGAAAAGGACAAAAAACGUUUCCUUGAGUGGCUGAAUGAGAACGAAUUUCGUCUGAACAAAGGAUACGCUACGAAAUGUUACGAUGCUUUACAUGCGUGGAAUGAACAACACUUUAAAUAAGUGGAGCGUAUCAUUAUGUCUAGGCCUAAUAUUGGGAAAGGAGUGAAUAGAUGAUAAAAACUUGUAGAAUUAUAGACUAACUUGGAUUGUUUAUUUACACAAGCUUUUAUUUAGAUUUAGUAUUAGAACAAUCUCUUUUGUAGAAUCUGUUGGUAAUGGUAAAGGCCGUGUACUUAUAGCAUAUACAAACAUUCUCAAGUAUUUUAAAGAACAGAAACCUAAAAAUUAAAGAAAAAAAACCCUUACAAAUGGAACACACUGAGACAAAAAAAAAAUACAGUAGAAGAAAAGAAACCAGUAUCGCUGCCCUGUUUUCCAGCACCUUGAGGUUUUAAAUACAGGCUCGCUGGAGAAUGAUUCGCAUGCUCAAGUUACACAUGCAUCUGGCUAUCUUAAUCUAAAAAUGGAAGAGAAAGCGAAGACACGUACAUUGAACAGAGCCAAACAGGCACAUGGGCCUUAAGCUUCGUCUUAAAUAAGGAAAUAGAUGUGGAUUCCUAAAAAAUGUCAUUCCAAACUUUAGAGCAGCGACCAUAACGAUUGCUUACCAUAUCAUUUAUAAGGCUUAGUGAUUAGAAGAAAAUAGGUAAAAUAGUUUGGAAUUUUGAAGUACGAGCACAUGUUACGAAGCGUAAUUGAAUAAAGUCUGAUAUAAAUAAAAAGCUGUUAGUGAUCAUGCUUUGGCACGAUGGAUCCUCUACAAUGUCUAUGCAUUUCAUAAACCAACAGAUUUUAAGAAGCUUAAUUAACAAAUUUAUCAUUUUUACUACAGUAUUUCAAAAUUGCUCAAGAAGUAUAGAGUAAGAUGAUUUAAUUAAUUUAGUGCAAUUGUACUUCUUUCUAAAUGAAAUAUAGGACAUACAUUGUAAUUAUUAAAUCAUGCUUUAUGCA